CGUAGGGUGCGAGCGUUGUCCGGAAUUACUGGGCGUAAAGAGCUCGUAGGUGGUUUGUCGCGUUGUUCGUGAAAACUCACAGCUUAACUGUGGGCGUGCGGGCGAUACGGGCAGACUGGAGUACUGCAGGGGAGACUGGAAUUCCUGGUGUAGCGGUGGAAUGCGCAGAUAUCAGGAGGAACACCGGUGGCGAAGGCGGGUCUCUGGGCAGUAACUGACGCUGAGGAGCGAAAGCGUGGGGAGUGAACAGG
rnacentral:rRNA from 1 species